rnacentral:rRNA from 1 species
UCUGAAUCUGCGUACGGCUCCGCAAACCAGUUGUAAACUAUAGCAAGCAAUCCUGUGGUUGGGCUUCGGCUCGGCCAUGGGUAACAUGGAUAACCCUGGUAAUUCUGAGGCUAAUACAAGAACGUACAACCUGGCUAACCGGCAACGGAAGGCUGGGGAACGUGCAACGUAUCGUAAUGGAUACCGGGAAAGGGUGCACGUUUGGACCGCGCUAAAGACAGUCCUUGGUAAGCCCUUGCGGGCAAGCCUUGGCCUGAGCGGCUCUUGCGGUGUGCUUCUGACCUAUCAACUAGACGGCAGCGUAAGGGACAUGCUAUGGU